rnacentral:rRNA from 1 species
CAGGCCUAACACAUGCAAGUCGAGCGGUAAGGCCCUUCGGGGUACACGAGCGGCGAACGGGUGAGUAACACGUGGGUGACCUGCCCUCCACUUCGGGAUAAGCCUGGGAAACCGGGUCUAAUACCGGAUAGGACCUUCUGGUGCAUGCUAGUGGGUGGAAAGUUUUUCGGUGGGGGAUGGGCCCGCGGUCUAUCAGCUUGUUGGUGGGGUGAUGGCCUACCAAGGCGACGACGGAUAGCCGGCCUGAGAGGGCGACCGGCCACACUGGGACUGAGAUACGGCCCAGACUCCUACGGGAGGCAGCAGUGGGGAAUAUUGCACAAUGGGCGCAAGCCUGAUGCAGCAACGCCGCGUGCGGGAUGACGGCCUUCGGGUUGUAAAGCUCUUUCACCGGUGAAGAUAAUGACGGUAACCGGAGAAGAAGCCCCGGCUAACUUCGUGCCAGCAGCCGCGGUAAU